UAACGCGUGGGGAACCUGCCCUAUACAGGGGGAGUAACAGCUGGAAACGGUUGCUAAUACCGCAUAAGCGCACAGAAUCGCAUGAUUCAGUGUGAAAAGCCCUGGCAGUAUAGGAUGGUCCCGCGUCUGAUUAGCUGGUUGGUGAGGUAACGGCUCACCAAGGCGACGAUCAGUAGCCGGCUUGAGAGAGUGAACGGCCACAUUGGGACUGAGACACGGCCCAA
rnacentral:rRNA from 1 species